rnacentral:rRNA from 1 species
GAUCCAUUUUGGACGGGGCCCCUCCGCCUCCGACGCGGCUGUCGACCGGGCCGGACUGUCCUCAGUCCGCCGCCCGACCGCGCCGCGCGCCAGGGCGGGGACCGGCCCACGUCACCGAAAGGGCGCUCGGGGUCCGGGCGAUGCCGGCCACCCAA